UACGAAGGGGGCUAGCGUUGCUCGGAAUUACUGGGCGUAAAGGGCGCGUAGGCGGCACUGUUAGUCAGGCGUGAAAUUCCUGGGCUCAACCUGGGGACUGCGCUUGAUACGGCAGAGCUUGAGGAUGGAAGAGGGACGCGGAAUUCCCAGUGUAGAGGUGAAAUGCGCAGAUAUCGGGAGGAACACCAGUGGCGAAGGCGGCUUUCUGGCCUGUUCUUGACGCUGAGGCGCGAAAGCUAGGGGAGCGAACGGG
rnacentral:rRNA from 1 species